AACUAGACUUCGACUGUGAAGAUAUUCCCCGCCAUUGAUGUUUCGCGUCGUGAUUCAAUUAUGGGCAUAUAAUAAAUUGAAAGAACCGGAUAUUAUAAAUUACGACCCCGGUAAUGUUACAUAUAAUUGUAACGGUAACUAUUUAAUUAAAGUAAACAAAUUCAACAAAAUAACACAAAUAUUACGAAUAUUCAAUUACACUAUGAUUAACAUGACUUUAAUCGAUGAUGACGACAACUCGAUAAUAUAUUGUAUCAAAUUUAAUUGUACACAUAAUGAUACAUUUAGUACUAAAACAUGUUCUCGUGAAAUAUUAGAAAGUUAUAUGUUACAUUUGAAUGGCAGUAAAACGAUGGACGAGUACAAUGAAAGCAAUGGUACGUAGCUUCUUUUAUUUUAUUUCUACGUGAAAGCUCAAUUGUCGCAAUGAAAGCUGCUCCUUACCUACAGUUAGUAGGUAGGUACUUACUCAAUGUGGUUGGCGUCAUUGGGUGCUGGAAUAUUAAUUGAAUUAAUUUAGUAAUUACGAUGACAGUUAUUUUAUUUUAUAUCUACUUGCAGCCGUGACUGGUUAUUUAUCAAUUCACCAGAGGUAGACUAUAAUGAGUCGAUUACAUGGUUACCUAAGUCUCAAUAUUUCAGCCGACA